rnacentral:rRNA from 1 species
UACGUAGGGGGGCGAGCGUUUGUCCGGAAUUAUUGGGCGUAAAGCGCGCGCAGGCGGUUUCUUAAGUCUGAUGUGAAAGCCCGUGGCUCAACCACGGAGGGUCAUUGGAAACUGGGAAGCUUGAGUGCAGAAGAGGAGAGUGGAAUUCCACGUGUAGCGGUGAAAUGCGUAGAUAUGUGGAGGAACACCAGUGGCGAAAGCGGCUCUCUGGUCUGUAACUGACGCUGAGACACGAAAGCGUGGUAGCAAACAGG